rnacentral:lncRNA from 1 species
GCGGCCGGCGGAACUGGCCGGCCAUCCCGCCGCGGCCCUGACGCCUGGGCUGCGCUGGCUGCUGGGGUCAAAUCCCAGCUGACCUUUCUCCGGAGGAAAGAUAAAUUAUUAUGGUUGUGUGUGAGCGUCAGUGCAAAUGUUUUCCGAGCCCUCCUCCGGCUCAGGGUGCCUUUUGGAUCCCCCGCAUUCCUCAACCCCGGCCAGGGAGCGGCGGCGCCCUUUGUGUCUCCGCGGAGCGCAUGCCACCUCGGGGAAAACAACGAAUCUGAGUUAGAACGGGGAGAGAGAGACACUAGCGUGAGUUUUGUUAAUCUUUUAAAGCCUCCCGGUGAACCUAGAAACCCAAAAAUUAUCUUGAACAGCAAAUGCUCUGGGGUUUAGAGAACGUUUGUUUCUUUGUCUUUUUCAUUGCCUCUUCCGUGCCAAAAACAAUCUGUUUGCUGGAGAACACAUCCGGAAAGAGCUGUUUUCCCCUGUUCAUCCAGUGAGAAGAUAUGUUUUCUCUCUACCAGUUAGAUUUCUUCUUUUGUCAGAAAGAAGAGCAUCUGUCCUCCAGGCUGGGCUUUGUCUCCGUUUGCUCUGCGACUGCACUAGCGCAGCAAGGCUACAUAAGGAGGCUUUUCAGCAGAGGAGCCUGGUGUUGAACUCGUGCCAUGGGGAAUGAAUUCUUCUAUAGACCCCUCGUCCUCUUCUGGAAGUUAAAGGGGGGCGAUUUGCAAAAAAAGCAUAUGUGUAUGAAUGUGUCUUCCUGUCCUAGCAUUUUGUGCCUUUAAGUCCUUGUGCUUCUGAGUGGACUCGACUGUCAGUGCCGCUCAAGGCCCUCACUAGCCUCCACACUCAGAGUUCCCCUGACAGAGCCAGUGUAAACUGGUUUUCACAGCAUGAGCUGUAUUCCUGCUGAAGAACUGGCUUUUACAGAAUUUGCAAAGCUAGCAAUUAGACAACUAACACCCAUGCCACUGUGUUGUUAAAGGGAACAUUCAGUAUUGCUAGAGACCGAGAAAGGCUCUCUGCAGCGUUGUUUUUAUGGGAAGAAAUAUGUAUGUAGAGAAGCCAACAGACAGUGCAGGGCUAAAUCCAUGUCCGCUGCCCUUGGUUUCUGGUUUACUUUAAAAAGCUCCAUCUGUAUCAUCUUCACAAGUGAACCAGUUCCCAAAGUAUAAUGCAUUGUAAGUAUUUAGUAUAUUGAUAACGGCUUGAAAUCUACAGAAUACCUGUGAUUUUUCUCACAGCCGAAAAGACCCGAACUAUUAUGUGUUCAACCAAGGAGAGCUUUAGGCUGGGCCCACUAUUCCACUAAUCCUCAUUGUUUGAGACGCAGCGAUAAAUGGGGAGUGGUAGGCCAGGCCUGUGUUCCAAGAACAGGGAGGCGUGGCAGGAGGAUGAGGAAUUGACCUCCUAGAAGUUGAAGAAAAAGAAAAGGGAACCAAAACAAUGUUCUGAGUCAUGUGUUGUGCUAUCCAUAAAAGACGGAGGGGAUGUAGGUAGCCAUUAUAGAACAGCCUACAUCCUGAAUAUGAAGGGGACAGGUGCUUAAGCCAAAAGGUUUCCAAAGUUCAUGAGGUCCUAGGUUCUGUCGUCAGCAUCAUAGAGUUAUGCUUAAAGAUACUCAGAUGACAGUAAAGAUGAAGCCCUGAUCCUUCUUUGUCCAUAAGCAUGGUGACUGGUCACACCUGACAGCAGGAUGUGGAAAAGGAAGAAGAGCCUAAAAGCCCCCUGAGCUUUGUUAACCACGUACAAUACAGAAACAGAUUCAAUGAAAGACUGUAUGUGAAGUCAAACAAAGUGCACUAGAUGAGGCUGACUGUAAUCCGGUUAGUCGGUUUUUGAAGAUUUAAGUUUCCACUUUAUACUUAAGUCUUGAUCUUCCCUUUUAAAGGUAUUAAAAUAUGUUAGUUGUAUAUUAAACAAUAAGAAUCAUCAGUACUGAGCCAAGCAGUAGUGACACCCGCCUUUAUUCCCAGCGCUCAGGCGGCAGAAACAGGUGAGUCUCUGUGAGUUCGAGGCCAGCCUGGUCUACAGAGAAAAUUCCAGGACAGCCAGGGCUACACAGAGAGAAACCCUGUCUCGAAAAACAGAAAAACAAAAAGCAUCAGUACUUGCAUAAUGGGAAAAAUAGGUGAGAAUAAAUAAGUUAAUAAACGUUAGUUUUCCUUCCCAUUUUUUUUUUUUUGAUAGUCUCAUGUUUUUCAGACUGGCCUUGUAUUUAUUAUGUAGCCAAAAAUGACCUUGAACUUUGAUCCUCCUCUGUACUUCCAGAGUAACAGGGCUGGGGCGGUGGGGGGAGGGCUAUCUAUAUGCCAUCACUUCCUGCUUGUGCUGUACUGGGAAUUUGAAUACUUGGCUUCCUGUAUGCUAGGCAAGUACUCUACCAACUGAACUAUAUCCCCUUUGAAAUUCAUCUUCAGUAAAGUAUUCUUAAAAACAAAAAUCCUACUGGGGCUGGAGAGAUGGCUCAGCGAUUAAGAGCAGUGUCUGCUCUUCUAGAGGUCCUGAGUUCAAUUCCCAGCAACCACAUGAUAGCUCACAACCAUCUGAAAUGGGAUCUAAUGCUCUCUUCUGGUGUGUCUGAGGACAGUGACAGUGUACUUACACAUACAUAAAUACAUCUUCAAGAAAAUCUCCACAACCUAUAUGUAAUCUAUAUGUAAUAAAGCCUUUUCUGCCUCAGUUUGCACAAGCCCCAGGAAAGAAAUACCAGAAAGAUGAUGAACCAACCCAUCCCAGAAAAGUAAAUGACACACACAGCAACUGUUGUCUAAUGACCAACAGAUCAUCUGACUCCCAGUAACUUCAAUACUUUGGCAAGUUAGUAGAAUGUUGAAAUAUUUCAAUUCUAUACUUGUACAAGUCGGCUUACAAAUCAUGUUAAUAUAUCAAAUCAAAGGAUGGUCUUUAAAAUGUAAAGUUAAAGGAUGUAAUAAAGGCAGAGGCAGCACUCAUGUAGAGAUCGUCUUCCACAGAAGCCCCUACAUACAAAGGCUCUUCUAGCUUGUUAACCUUAGAGACCAGACAGCUAACUCCUUUUCAGAACCUGCAGGCUAGAAAGCUCAACGUUGAUUAGUUUCUUUAUGCAAGGAACAAGGGAAGGGAGAAAAGAAGGGUGGGAGGGAGGAAUUCUAGAUUAGGUUUCCAUGGGUAUGUACUUUACUUAGAAUCUUUCUAUCCUGUUGUAUUUCUAGUGCCUGAUAUUUAGUUACAUUUAGAAUUCCUCGUAAAAUUUCCAGAAAGCAGUCUUUAUAGAGAAUUGUGAUAGAAAACAGUCGUAGAAGCAGGGAGUGGUCAUGCCCUUUAAUCCUAGCAGGCAGAUCUCUGUGACUCAGGCCAACCUGUCCACAUAGUGAGUUCCAGGGCUACAAAGUAGGACCCUGUUUCAAAAGAGGGACGUGACAGUGGAGCUUGAUGACAAAUGGUUAGAUCCACUACAUAGUGUUAGUAUGACAUCACCUUCUCCCUGGUAUGGAUAGACAGGAGCUGCCAAGGCAGUUGUAGAGUGAAUCUACCUGUGUUCAAUACCCAAAACUGAAAACAUAAAAAUAAAAUGCUGCCAAGAUAAGCCACAUGAUAAACCUUAUUUCCACACCAAAUCUUUACAAAGCCUCCACCAGUACUAGGAAGACAUUGCAUGCAUAAUGCAUACUAUAAGAAUAAACCAAAUUUAUCAACUUAUUUUGUAUGUUUUCAUGUACCUAAUUUUAAAAAUUAUACAUAUG